rnacentral:misc_RNA from 1 species
CAGAUAGCAGCUCCGGCAGUCCCUCGGCGUCGUGGUGGAAGCGAACAGCGCAGGGGUCGAGGCUUCGCUGCUGCGGCUUCGGAAGCUUCGCUGCGGGAGGGAAAAGAUCCUGGCUUGGUGUAGAGUCGCGACGGCAGGGUCAACUCCAGCACAAUGGUGGCGGCGGACAGCAGGCGGUGUGCGGGUGGGGGAAGCUGACGACGCCCAAGCAGUGGAAUAACAGCGACAGCAACGCCAGUGACAGCAGCAGCAGGUGUGGCAGCAGGACACGGGACUGACGGCGCCGCAGUCAUGGAAUCUGUCAAGGUUGUGACUCCGCAGAAGCUGUCCGCCAUGGUCAGGAGCAGGGCGGACAAGGCCCUCAUCAUAGACAGCCGCACCUUCUGUGAGUUCAACACCUCGCACAUACUCAACUCUAUCAACGUUUGGUCGUCAAAGAUCAGGAAGAAGAGACUGCAGCAAGAUUCCAUCUCCGUGCACGACUACCUCCAGCAGGCGUGCCACGUCUCGGGCCUGCACGACGGGCUGGACAUCAUCGUGUACGACCAGAACGCCCCCUCACUCUCCGCCGUUCCCCAGGACUCGUUCCUGCACGUGCUCCUCAACAAGCUCGGGCGCGCUUUCCCCUCCGUCUACCUCCUGGCUGGCGGUUUCCUCGAGUUCCAGGCGAGAUUCCCGGAGUUGUGCGAGGACUCGAGCAAGAAGUGCACGCCCCUGACCACCCAGUCCCAGCCGUGCCUUCCCGUCUCGAACGUGGGACCCACUCGCAUCCUGCCCUUUCUCUAUCUCGGAUCUCAGCACGACGCCAACAACAAACAACUCCUUUCUGACCACAACAUCUUGUACGAGCUGAACGUGAGCGUGUCCUGCCCCAAGCCGGACUUCGUGCAGGAGUCCCACUUCAUGCGGAUCGCCGUCAACGACAACUUCAGCGAGAAACUGCUCCCUUAUUUCAAUGAUGCCUUUAACUUCAUCGACAAGGUUCGUGAGUCGGGCGGCUGCGUGCUGGUCCACUGUCUGGCGGGGAUCUCGAGGUCGGCCACGGUCGCCAUCGCUUACGUCAUGAAGCAUCUGCGACUUCCCUUUGAUGAAGCUUAUAUGUACGUGAAGACGCGGCGCCCGACCAUCUCCCCGAACAUCAACUUCGUGGGCCAGCUGGCCGAGCUGGACCGGCAGCUGCGGCGCGACGCGGGCCAGCGGGACCCGACCUCCGCGCCCAUCCUCUUCCGCAGCCACGAGUCGCACUCGUCGGGUUCGUCCACUGCCUCGAUCUCGUCCUCGGCGGCCUUCGCGUCGACCUACCUGGAGAGGCACGCGUGUUCGGGCCUCCAGAGCAACAUGCCCAAGUCGCUCAGCCUCAACCUCCGGUCGACCCUCGAGGCCGUGCCCGCCUCGCCGUCCUCCUCACCUCACUCCCCGGACAUGUCGCCCUCCUCGGCGCUCGCUCGACUCAGCUUCGCCUCCGCCCUGGACGAGCUGCACGACGACGGGCUCCCCGCCACGCCCAAGUGCCCCUCGCCCGCCACGCCCAUCUCGUGUCUACCUCCUUCCUCUCCCGCCACGGCGAUCGUCCGCGACUCCAAUAGUUCCCCGGUCUUCUCCUACAGAAAGACUUCUAGUUCUUCACCCACGUCCCCUGCCUUCAGCUCCUUCUACAAGAGCAAGGAGGUGUCUAGUCGGACUAGUAGUGACUACAGAAGUGAGGCUAAGAUUACGUCUUUAAAAGAAAGCUUUACAUCUAGUGAUAGCAUUAAGAGUACAAGCGGGUCAACCAGCAAUUAUUACAGUAGUGCCACCUUUAAAGUGGGGGCGGCCGAGGCAGGGAGAGGGGUGGGGGGAGACGCGAGAGGGAGAGAGGAAAAGAAAGUGAGCAAUACGUCCUCUUCCUCCUCCUCCUCCUCCUCCUCUUCCUCCCGGCGGUGCAGUGACGGCGAGGCGCGGCAGGUUUCUGUGUGUGUGAUUGACGUGAAAAGAGAAAAGUCGCCGGUCAGCUUCGUCCGCCGAGAGCCGCUGGUUGUGCGUGAAACUCAGGUCAUUGCCACGCCGUGUCAUGUGAAGCCCGAGGUCAGGUCUGUGCUGGAGGUGCAGCUCGAGGACGGCCGGCAGAAGGAGGAGCACAUCACGGUCAAGGAGGGGACGAGAAAGACGGCCGAGGAGAAAACCUCCAAAGAGAACAACAAGAAGAAUCAGGAAGACAAGAAGGAGGCGCGCGAGGAGUCGGUUCUGACCAUCGAGAGCUGCCGGCCGCCGCCGAAGGAGGAGGCUCCGGCGCGGCCGAGGGAGGUCAUCGUGCCCAUCCAGAUCGCCGGCGCCAGGGAGGGCCGGCCGCGCGUGCUGGAGCUGAGCGUCCCCUUCAGCGGCCAGAAGCAGCAGAAGGCGCAGCAGAGCCAGCCGCAGCCCGCCACCACCGCGUCCACCGCCUGCACUACCAAAGUACCUGGAAGCGGAGUCUGGUUGCCCGAGAGCCCCAGAGAAGCAUCAGUCGCCGGUCCGCCCACGGCAGCCACGCCCAACUCGCCUCACUCGCCGGGCGUGCAGCAGAGUGACUCAGGAAUCAUCGUGGAGGAGGAGAGAGGCGAGAUCCCGCCCAGCCCGCAGCGCCUCCCGCGAUGCUACUCCUCCAGCGAGACGCACCUCAACACGCGCAGGCUGCUGGAGCACCGCAACCCGGACUUCACCGCCCGAAAGUGCUCCAGCUACGACGAGGUGGGCCGGGCGUGGCCCCACAGCCAGCACCCUCAGCCGCACCAGCAGGGCGUGGGGCGCGAGAGCACGACCUGGCUGUGCCCCUGGGAGCUGGCGCGCAGUGACAGCGUCUCGACCAGCGGCUUCGGCUCGGAAAUCUCAGACACGGAUCUCCUGCACGACGACGCCCACUCCACCACGACCCAGGAGGACGCCCUCGGGCCCUACGACGCGGUCUUCGCCGACGUGUUCCCGGGGGAGCAGGUGCCGAAGCAGCAGCCCACGACGCCCAAGACCCCGCGGCCCGCGAGCCUCCCCGGGGUCACGGGGGCCUACUUCUCGCACUUCGAGUCAAGCGCGGACCCCGGCUUGGACAUGGGAGUCGACAUGGGACCCGGCAGCGUCGAGCUCCGGCACAGCGGCAGAGGGCGGCUGGGGAUCGAGAAGAAGGACUCGGGCUAUUACUCCUUCCUGACGGAGCACCCGCCCGUCAGCCCUCGUACCAUGGGCGAGGGCGUGAGGCACACGACCACAGAUGUGCCCUGGCCAAAGGAACGUCCACGAGAUCUGCGGCUCCAGAUAACUACCCUCUCUGGACCCCACGUUCACGACACCCCAAAGAUCACCACCACUAUCCCCCGGACGCACGCACCUACUCACACCUCUUCGGGGGACGCCAGAACCUCUCCGGAAAAGCGUAUGACUCCCGAAAAGAGGAAAAGCCGGGGGAGUAGCACUGAAGAGAAUGAGGAAAAGCGCAGGAGCUGUGAGGUGGAGGCUCACCAAUGGACACCGCCUCGACAGACCAUCAACAUAGGCUCAGGUAUAUGCAGUGUGGUAUCUGUGAGGGAGGUGAUGAAGUAAAAGAGAAUGUUGACAGCAGUGACUUUAAUGAUCCUACCCUUUGAAGAAUAUGAGUGUUCGGAUGGCACAGGAACUACUUCGCGGUGUGGAACAGCUGCUGGACUCUGAGAUGGGUGAACUGAGAAGGCGAACAGCUGCAAUGUCCUCGCGUUUGAGGUUUUUGGGUCGAAGUGAUGCUUCCUCUGAC